UACGUAGGUGGCGAGCGUUGUCCGGAUUUACUGGGCGUAAAGAGCGCGCAGGCGGUCGUACAAGUCGCGUGUGAAAGCCCCCGGCUCAACUGGGGAGGGUCACGCGAUACUGUUCGACUCGAAGGCAGGAGAGGGAAGCGGAAUUCCAGGUGUAGUGGUGAAAUGCGUAGAUAUCGGGAGGGACACCAGUGGCGAAGGCGGCUUCCUGGCCUGUUCUUGACGCUGAGGCGCGAAAGCUAGGGUAGCAAACGGG
rnacentral:rRNA from 1 species